ACCCAUGUCCAGGAUGAAGGUAAGGUAAUACUUACUGGAGGUCCGAACCCACGCACGUUGAAAAGUGCGGGGAUGAGGUGUGGGUAGCGGAGAAAUUCCAAUCGAACUUGGAGAUAGCUGGUUCUCUCCGAAAUAGCUUUAGGGCUAGCCUCGAGGUAAAGAGUCAUGGAGGUAGAGCACUGUUUGGACUAGGGGCCCUUCUCGGGUUACCGAAUUCAGAUAAACUCCGAAUGCCAUGUACUUAUACUCGGGAGUCAGACUGCGAGUGAUAAGAUCCGUAGUCGAAAGGGAAACAGCCCAGACCACCAGUUAAGGUCCCCAAAUAUAUGUUAAGUGGAAAAGGAUGUGGGGUUGCUUAGACAACCAGGAUGUUGGCUUAGAAGCAGCCACCAUUGAAAGAGUGCGUAAUAGCUCACUGGUCGAGUGACCCCGCGCCGAAAAUGUACCGGGGCUAAACAUAUUAC
rnacentral:rRNA from 1 species